GAGUUUGAUCGUGGCUCAGGACGAACGCUGGCGGCAUGCCUAACACAUGCAAGUCGAACGGGAUCCAGGCUUCGGCCUGGUGAGAGUGGCGGACGGGUGAGUAACGCGUGGGAACCUGCCCAAUGGUCUGGGAUAACCGCGGGAAACUGCGGCUAAUACCGGAUAAGCCCGAGAGGGGAAAGAUUUAUCGCCGAUGGAGGGGCCCGCGUCCGAUUAGGUAGUUGGUGGGGUAAUGGCCUACCAAGCCUACGAUCGGUAGCUGGUCUGAGAGGAUGAUCAGCCACACUGGGACUGAGAUACGGCCCAGACUCCUACGGGAGGCAGCAGUGGGGAAUAUUGGACAAUGGGGGCAACCCUGAUCCAGCAAUGCCGCGUGAGUGAUGAAGGCCUUAGGGUUGUAAAGCUCUUUUGGCGGGGACGAUGAUGACGGUACCCGCAGAAUAAGCCCCGGCUAACUUCGUGCCAGCCGCCGCCGUAAC
rnacentral:rRNA from 1 species